GAAACUCAUAAAAGACACAUCCACGUCCACUUACCCUCGCCUUAUGCCCUUGGGGGAAUCCCCACACCAUCUUGGAGGGCGGUCCAAAUGAUUAGCUAAGCAAGAGAAGUUUGCAACGUAAGCCCCUCAGCCCUCGUUUUUAGUCGAGUUUGCGAUUAUGUUCACUUCGGGCCUGAAACUCCCUAUAAUUCAAUUUGCGAUGAUUGUACAUCCGCUAAGAAAAGUCUGUGAAAAAUUAAAACCUCAACGUCAGUAUGGAGUCAACAUACAAGUUAUUUAACAGCGGUACACAAUAGGAGAGAGACAGAUAAUAUCUCCUUUCGUCGUUAAUAUCAACCAUAAAGGAAAAGGCCAAAGUACCAGAGUCAUACUAUUAAUUGUCCAAAGCAGGGAUGGAGAGUGAGCUAGUGAGAGCCUCCUCAGUGUGGAUGGGGUAUAGCGGACAUUUUCAACAACAAAGACUGCACUUCCAGUUUGUGUUCUUUACUCUGUUGAACUAUUUUAUCUUCAUUCCUAGUUACAGCACAUGGAACCACCGUUGGCAUGCAAAACAUUCAAUCUAAAACAAAACUUAACACGUUAUAAAUAAUAUCAAUGCAGUAUGACGAAUUAUCCAUCCAUUGUGUUAUAUCAUAAAUUGUCUUACAUGCCGUCACUGUUGUCAAAAGAUUCUAAACAUGUUAAAUAAAGUUACUAACCCAGUCA